rnacentral:misc_RNA from 1 species
AAAGUCGUAACAAGGUCUCCGUAGGUGAACCUGCGGAGGGAUCAUUACCGAGUGCGGGCCCUCGCGCCCAACCUCCCAACCCUUUGUCGAUUCGUAUCUGUUGCCUCGGGGGGCGACCCGGACGUCACGUCCGGGAGUCCCCCAGAGGUCCAACCCACCACACUGCGUCUUUGCGUCGGAGUAUUGAAAACAAAUCAAUCAAAACUUUCAACAACGGAUCUCUUGGUUCUG